rnacentral:rRNA from 1 species
GAUGAACGCUGGCGGCGUGCCUAAUACAUGCAAGUCGAGCGAACGGACGAGAAGCUUGCUUUUCUGAUGUUAGCGGCGGACGGGUGAGUAACACGUGGAUAACCUACCUAUAAGACUGGGAUAACUUCGGGAAACCGGAGCUAAUGCCGGAUAAUAUUUUGAACCGCAUGGUUCAAAAGUGAAAGACGGUCUUGCUGUCACUUAUAGAUGGAUCCGCGCUGCAUUAGCUAGUUGGUAAGGUAACGGCUUACCAAGGCAACGAUGCAUAGCCGACCUGAGAGGGUGAUCGGCCACACUGGAACUGAGACACGGUCCAGACUCCUACGGGAGGCAGCAGUAGGGAAUCUUCCGCAAUGGGCGAAAGCCUGACGGAGCAACGCCGCGUGAGUGAUGAAGGUCUUCGGAUCGUAAAACUCUGUUAUUAGGGAAGAACAUAUGUGUAAGUAACUGUGCACAUCUUGACGGUACCUAAUCAGAAAGCCACAGCUAACUACGUG